rnacentral:rRNA from 1 species
GCAAGACGUCAGCGGCAGACGGGAGAGUAACACGUGGGAACGUACCCUUCGGUUCGGAAUAACCCAGGGAAACUUGGGCUAAUACCGGAUACGUCCGUAAGGAGAAAGAUUUAUCGCCGAGGGAUCGGCCCGCGUCCGAUUAGCUAGUUGGUGGGGUAAUGGCCCACCAAGGCGACGAUCGGUAGCUGGUCUGAGAGGAUGAUCAGCCUCACUGGGACUGAGACACGGCCCAGACUCCUACGGGAGGCAGCAGUGGGGAAUAUUGGACAAUGGGCGCAAGCCUGAUCCAGCCAUGCCGCGUGGGUGAUGAAGGCCCUAGGG